GCGGGUAUAGCUCAGUUGGUAGAGCGGAGGCUUGAUAUCCCUCGCGUCGUCGGUUCGAUUCCGACUGCUCGCA
rnacentral:tRNA from 1 species